rnacentral:rRNA from 1 species
CCUACGGGGGGCUGCAGUGGGGAAUAUUGCACAAUGGGCGCAAGCCUGAUGCAGCCAUGCCGCGUGUGUGAAGAAAGCCUUCGGGUUGUAAAGCACUUUCAGCGGGGAGGAAGGCGGUGAGGUUAAUAACCUCAUCGAUUGACGUUACCCGCAGAAGAAGCACCGGCUAACUCCGUGCCAGCAGCCGCGGUAAUACGGAGGGUGCAAGCGUUAAUCGGAAUUACUGGGCGUAAAGCGCACGCAGGCGGUCUGUCAAGUCGGAUGUGAAAUCCCCGGGCUCAACCUGGGAACUGCAUUCGAAACUGGCAGGCUAGAGUCUUGUAGAGGGGGGUAGAAUUCCAGGUGUAGCGGUGAAAUGCGUAGAGAUCUGGAGGAAUACCGGUGGCGAAGGCGGCCCCCUGGACAAAGACUGACGCUCAGGUGCGAAAGCGUGGGGAGCAAACAGGAUUAGAUACCCGGGUAGUC